rnacentral:rRNA from 1 species
CCUACGGGUGGCUGCAGUGGGGAAUCUUAGACAAUGGGGGAAACCCUGAUCUAGCCAUGCCGCGUGAUCGAUGAAGGCCUUAGGGUUGUAAAGAUCUUUCAGGUGGGAAGAUAAUGACUGUACCACCAGAAGAAGCCCCGGCUAACUCCGUGCCAGCAGCCGCGGUAAUACGGAGGGGGCUAGCGUUAUUCGGAAUUACUGGGCGUAAAGCGCACGUAGGCGGACUGGAAAGUCAGAGGUGAAAUCCCAGGGCUCAACCUUGGAACUGCCUUUGAAACUCUCAGUCUUGAGGUCGAGAGAGGUGAGUGGAAUUCCGAGUGUAGAGGUGAAAGUCGUAGAUAUUCGGAGGAACACCAGUGGCGAAGGCGGCUCACUGGCUCGAUACUGACGCUGAGGUGCGAAAGCGUGGGGAGCAAACAGGAUUAGAUACCCUAGUAGUC